GUAAUGUUUUACUUUAGUUUACUAAUUAUUUUCUAAAAUAUUAUUAUUUAUUCUUAAAAUUCUACUUUAAUUUACUUUAUGAAAUAAAUGAGAGAUGAAAACACAUGAUUGAGUUGAUUUGACACGUUUUCGCGACCUAAUUGAAUGAUUUGGGUUCGGUAGGCUUUGUAAGCAUGAAGUUAUUGAUGUCCUUGGCAAUUUAUGAUUCUACAAAUCUUGUCUUUCUUUAAUUUAUUUUUCAUAUUAUUAAACAUUUGUCUGUACUAUAUCCUAAUUAGAAUUUAAUCAAUUAUAAAAUUGAAACCUAUAAAGUAGUUCGGCCCACAUAAUUUACGUCCCAAGACGAUUCGUCAAUAUAUAUAACUAUGUUUAUAUUUUAGUGAUAGUAUAAUACAGUGUUAAUUAGUUUGAAAAAAAUACAUUAUUAUUAAGUUAAAUAACAAAUUUGAGUGUUAAACUUUAAAGUUCAAUAGUCGUAAAUUUAUGGGGAAUAAUAAAUCUAUUUCUAUUUUAUUAUAUAUUAUUUUAUAUUCUAGAUCCUGGUCCUGGCUGAAAUUUAGAGUAUUGCAGCUGUAGCCUGUAUACCAUACAUUCAACAUGAAAAGGACUGUCAGGAUGCUGCAUAAAAUGGUCUUAGCUAGAGCCUAGAAUGUUAAUUUCUUGGGAAUAUGCUGCAAGGAACUGACGGGGAGCAGUUUUUCUUACCAAUCAUAGAGGCAGUAAGAAACAGCCAAAGAAGUACUCAAACACUUGAUAUACCCAGAAAUAUCUAGAAGAAAAGAUUGGAACAGAUUGAAGCUUAAUUGUUAAAACUAUUAAAGUGAAUUUAAACUGCACUUGAACUGUAUUUUUGAAAU